rnacentral:rRNA from 1 species
GAGAACGGGUAUUAGCUUGCUAAUACUGUCAGCUAAGUGGCGCACGGGUGAGUAAUAUAUAGUUAACCUGCCCUCUAGAAAGGAAUAACAGUUGGAAACGACUGCUAAUGCCCUAUAUGCCCAUAAUACAUAAGUAUGCUGGGGAAACGCUUUAGUGCUAGAGGAUGGGACUGUAUGGUAUCAGUUAGUUGGUGAGGUAAUGGCUCACCAAGACAAUGACGCCUAACUGGUUUGAGAGGAUGAUCAGUCACACUGGAACUGAGACACGGUCCAGACUCCUACGGGAGGCAGCAGUGGGGAAUAUUGCACAAUGGAGGAAACUCUGAUGCAGCAACGCCGCGUGGAGGAUGACACUUUUCGGAGCGUAAACUCCUUUUAUAUAGGAAGAUAAUGACGGUACUAUAUGAAUAAGCACCGGCUAACUCCGUGCCAGCAGCCGCGGUAAUACGGAGGGUGCAAGCGUUACUCGGAAUCACUGGGCGUAAAGAGCGUGUAGGCGGGUUAAUAAGUUGGGAGUGAAAUCCUAUGGCUCAACCAUAGAACUGCUUUCAAAACUGUUAACCUAGAAUAUGGGAGAGGUAGAUGGAAUUUCUGGUGUAGGGGUAAAAUCCGUAGAGAUCAGAAGGAAUACCGAUUGCGAAGGCGAUCUACUGGAACAUUAUUGACGCUGAGACGCGAAAGCGUGGGGAGCAAACAGGAUUAGAUACCCUGGUAGUCCACGCCCUAAACGAUGUACACUAGUUGUUGCGAUGCUAGACAUUGCAGUAAUGCAGUUAACACAUUAAGUGUACCGCCUGGGGAGUACGGUCGCAAGAUUAAAACU